GAUGAACGCUAGCUACAGGCUUAACACAUGCAAGUCGAGGUGCAGCACAGUGUAGCAAUACACGGGUGGCGACAGGCGCACGGGUGCGUAACACGUAUCCAAUCUGCCCGUUACUCGGGGAUAGCCUUCUGAAAGGAAGAUUAAUACCCGAUGGCAUUCAUUUGCGGCAUCGCUUAUGAAUUAAAGAUUUAUCGGUAACGGAUGAGGAUGCGUACGAUUAGCUGGUUGGCGGGGUAACGGCCCACCAAGGCUACGAUCGUUAGGGGUUCUGAGAGGAAGGUCCCCCUCACUGGAACUAAGAUACGGUCCAGGCUUCUACGGGAGGCAGCAGUGAGGAAUAUUGGUCAAUGGUCGAGAGACUGAACCGGCCAAGUAGCGUGAUGGAUGACUGCCCUAUGGGUUGUAAACUUCUUUUGUUUGGGAAUAAAGUCAGGUACGUGUACCUGUUUGUAUGUACCAUUCGAAUAAGCAUCGGCUAAUUCCGUGCCAGCAGCCGCCGUAACAC
rnacentral:rRNA from 1 species